GAUGAACGCUGGCGGCGUGCCUAAUACAUGCAAGUCGAGCGAACAGACGAGGAGCUUGCUCCUCUGACGUUAGCGGCGGACGGGCGAGUAACACGUGGAUAACCUACCUAUAAGACUGGGUUAACUUCGGGAAACCGGAGCUAAUACCGGAUAAUAUAUUGAACCGCAUGGUUCAAUAGUGAAAGAUGGUUUUGCUGUCACUUAUAGAUGGAUCCGCGCCGCAUUAGCUAGUUGGUAAGGUAACGGCUUACCAAGGCAACGAUACGUAGCCGACCUGAGAGGGGAGUCAGCUCCACUGGAACUGAGCUGCGACCCAGACUCCUACGGUAGGCAGCAGUAGAGAAUCGUCCACUAGGGGCGAAAGCAUGACGUGGCAACGCCGCGUAGGUGAUGAAAUUCUUCGGAUCUUAGAACUCUGCUAUUAGGAAAGAACAAUUGUGUAAGUAACUAGGCACGUCUUGACGGUACCUAAUCAGAAAGCCCCGGCUAAUUACGUG
rnacentral:rRNA from 1 species